rnacentral:lncRNA from 1 species
AUGGCAGCCACCAAUAGAGCAAGGCGUGCAGCGGAGCAAACAGCGUGUUCUUCCUGUAGCAUAAAGCUUGGCUCUGGUGGUGCUCCUGUAUUCAGAGGUGCAGCUCCCCUGUUCUCCUGCCCUGAUGUGAUUGGAAUGGGUGAAUGGAUUCAAGAAAUGCUGAAAUGGUGCAUAUCCAGCAUCAAAUACAAUUUUAAGCCCUUACUAGUUGUCACUAGCCCAGACAUUUAAGCGUGCUUGUAACCUCAUGCAUGCUGCAACAGAAGAGUCGAAGGUUCAGGACGAUAUUGGUGGAAUGAUUUUAACUCAAUGUCCUUAUUACUGAGCUGUUGAUGGGCAAUCUGUGCAUGCAAGUGAAAAAUGCGAGUAAUGAAUACGUCAUGGAUGCUCAAGUUCCUCUGUGUCCUGGGGCAAAAGCUCUGGAGAUCCCGGAGGUUCAAGUAGCCCCGCACUUCUUGAGAUCUAAAAUUCGCAUCUGCCUUCAAUGGCUUGGACUUAACCUUAAUAUAAGCAACCACUUUGGCAUGUUACACUGAGACUCUGUAUCUGGAUGGUGUUGCAAUGUCCUUUGGGCUAUGGGAGAAGACAGUGCGCUUGAAAUAUGCAUGUUUGAGCAAGUUCUAUGCAGCUUGCCUUUGCUGGAGCCUGACUUCCUUUCUUGGAUGGAGCCAGAGAUUUGCGGGCUCUAAUAACAUGGCAGCUCACCAACUUGGCAUAUAGAAAUGAGAAGGGUGCGUCCCUGUUCCAGUUACAUAAAAAUGUCAAAGCGUGUGGAGAGCAAAUGAAGGUAGCAUGAAGACCCAGUUUAUUUUCUUUCUUUCAAAGUGUAUUGUGUUUCUUGCUGCUCAGAAUGGUUUCAUAAUUAAAAACAUAUGGUGAAAAUUUCUGGGUAUCAGUAGAGAGUUGAGAUCUGAACUCAGGUCUAAUCUGGUCUACUUAAUCCUGUGGCUGUCAGGUGAGUAAAACUUCUUGUAGCCUAAUUUCUUGGCAUUUAAACAUAAGGAGCAAAAGAAAUGGGCAUAAAAUUAUGACCAGAAGAGCACUGGUGUAGGUGAUUUCCUGGGAGGGAUUGUUCCAACCUUUCCUCUGACAGACGCACCGCUGUAACUUCUGCUCUUGUGAUCAGGUUCAUAAAAUGUGCCAUGGAGCUGGUACGUAACCCACUGCUAGCCGUGUGAUGAACUGGCUAACCCACUGCAAUCUCAGAAACCCCAGACUAUUACAGCAUGGAGUAUUCUUUGUUUUCCAGCUUUACCAACGUGCGCAGGAUCGUGUUUCAGAGCUGUACCCUGUAGCCAUGUGGACCAGAUGUUUCCUUCUGACAGUGGGGAGGAUUGAGACUAAUGUAACUACAGGUUUUCAGGAGUGCAGACUUUAAAACAAAUUAUCAAAAGUUGCAAAAUUUGUUGUAAAGCUGAGAGUUCAUGUUUUACUUGUUGCUGUUGUUCCAAAUGUAAAACCGGAGAGCACUUCAACGUCAUUGUUACUGCACUUUUCCCCAUGAGGAAAAGUGCCUUUGGCCUGCUGGGAAUGACAAACAAUACUGGCAAAAGGAAAGUCAACAAGGCUAAAAUCAAAAUGCUUGUAUUUAUAAUUGCUUUUAGCGUGGUCCCUAGAAGGCUCCUGUAACAGAUGCAGGGUCCUGUAGGGUUAGGUGCUAUGCAGAAAUAGAACAGAACACAAUCCCAGUCCCUGAAUGGUUCAAGUUAUGUAGGAGUUCUCCACGGGCCAGAUGACAUCAACAUGCUUGGAGACCAUGUUACAGACAUACUGUUUUUAACUGACAAUCAUUUUUAGACUUUUUUUCAAUUGCAAAUUAAAUCUCUUCCAUCUUGUCAACGGCUCAUGGAUGGCCACUGUAGAAGGUUCCCUUUUGUGAGACAAAAAGGCUACAAAAAUAACAGAAGUGAAUGUCUGCAGCUGAAGAAGUUUGGCUCAGGCUUGAAAUGUUUGCUUUGGGUGGGAUCCAGGCCCUGCUGAGGUCUGCAGGAGUUCUACUCUUGGCCUCAGUGGGGCCAAGCUUUCACCCUUGGAGAUCAUGUCCUGAGGAAGAAUUUAGUCUAAAAUAAUUUUCAGAACUUGUAUAGUUUGACUCAAAUCCAAGUAUUUUUUAAGACUGAGUAGCUUUGUGUUUCUGAUUGACUCAAAUUGCUCCUUUUAGCAUCUUCCAUCAGUGAGCUCCCAAAGAAGGGAGAAGGCUAACCAUGUUCACCAGUGCAGCCCAGUAUGUGUGGCCAGCAAAUUGAGGGGAAUGUUCAUUUCCCUCAGCCCUGGUGAGGCUGCAUCUGGACACAGUGCCUUGUUCUCAGCCAGUGAGGGCAAGAGAGACAUCCACCAACUGGAGCGAGUCCAAUGCAGGACCAUGGCAAUGGUGGGGCUGGAGGCCAGGGCGUACAAGGAGAGGCUGCAAGAGCUGGGCUUAUUCAGCCAAAAGACGAGAAGGUGAAGGAGGAUCCAGCUGCUUCUUCCAGUGCCCAAAAGGGUUACAGAGAUGAUGGGGUUAGACUCUGCUCAGAAGGGCACAGUUAAAGCACCAGAGGCACUAGCACAAACUGCAACAGGGGAAAUGCCGGCUGGACCUCAGGAAACAGUCCUUCCCCGUGCAAGUGGUGCUUUUUGGGAUAGGUCCCUGAGCAGUGGGGGAUCUCCAUCCUUGGGGAUUGCCCAGACUUGCCUGGACACAGCCCUGAGCAACCUGCUGUGACAUUGGCCCUGCUGUGAGCUGGGGUCAGACAGGAGACAUCCAGGGGUCCCUUCCAGCUUAACUCUGUGAUUUUAAAGUUAUUAAGAUUUAUGUAAGUCUUUUUUCCUCAAAAUAGAAAUAUAUUGUUAGAUUCUUUAGAGACUUUUAAUCACAUCUUAAAAAUGAAAUGGCCUCACUGAUGAAGACUAGUGUGCGGAAAUAGGACUGGUACCCCACAACUGAAAAAAUGAAUGAUAACGUUUUUUCAAAGAAGAUAUAUUGAUUAGGAUCAGGUGUGAAUAAACCUGCUGCUAGGUUCCUAUCCUAACA